rnacentral:lncRNA from 1 species
UGAUCCUACAGGCAAUUCAGAAAUCCUCAGGCUGUUCCUCCCAUUACAAGCCAAGAGUAUAAGAGCCCAGAGUCACUACAGAGAGCCUCUGUUGGGGCAAUGCCCAGUGGAGCCAUGGGUGCAGGGCUGCCCCUGCAACCCUAGACUGAUAAAACCAAUGGGAAGUGAUUCCAGCACCAGAGAGCCUCAGGCAUGUGACCCAAGGCACACAGCUGCUGAGGAGUUGAAGCCACCACUGAGAACUGCAUGAGGGCAGGGCCCAGGCACAGAGCUGCUGCAGGGCUGCGGGUGCCCAAACCCUUGGGGCAGGGCUGCAGCUGGAGUGCAUCCAGAAGAUUAUUUUCAAAAACAAAAUUGAACCCUUCCAAGGCCCCAAAGUAAGGAAAUAAACGUUACAGCAAAGAGGACACAUAGGGGACCAGCACUGAACAAAGGUUUCAAAACAUACCUGGAAGACUGAAGAGGUUGGAAGCCCAAUGACAUUUAAAUCAGAGGGAGGAAAGAGUAGCGGGUUGGGGGCAGCAGCAACGGAGAGUGCAGAGAGCUCCUGCCAAACGGAACCACAGAGGCCUGCCUUGGACAGGUGCUGUGACUGCCCGGUCAGCAACCCGCAUUCCCUUUCAUCGCCCUGCCUCCACAGACAAGCACCUGGAGAUAUAACUGAAAAGGUAGGUUGGGUUAAAUAACAGGACCUUGAAAGGAGAUAAGCAUGCAUGGGUGAGAAACGCUUCAAAAUGUUUGGUUGUAACGCCAUAUAUUCUCACUCAUAAGUGGGAAUUAAACAAUGAGAACACAUGGACACAGGGAGGGGAACAUCACACACCAGGGCCUGUCAGGGGGUGGGGGGCUACAGGAGGGAUAGCAUUAGGAGAAAUACCUAAUGUAGAUGACGGGUUGAUGGGCACAGCAAACCAUCACGG